UUAACGUAGAAGGUCAGGGUAAUUAACGUAGAAGGUUAGGAUAAUUAACGUAGAAGGUCAGGAUAGUUAACGUAGAAGGUCAGGGUAAUUAACGUAGAAGGUCAGGAUAAUUAACGUAGAAGGUCAGGAUUGUUAACGUAGAAGGUCAGGGUAAUUAACGUAGAAGGUCAGGGUAAUUAACGUAGAAGGUCAGGAUUGUUAACGUAGAAGGUCAGGGUAAUUAACGUAGAAGGUCAGGAUUGUUAACGUAGAAGGUCAGGGUAAUUAACGUAGAAGGUCAGGGUAAUUAACGUAGAAGGUCAGGGUAAUUAACGUAGAAGGUCAGGAUUGUUAACGUAGAAGGUCAGGGUAAUUAACGUAGAAGGUCAGGAUUGUUAACGUAGAAGGUCAGGGUAAUUAACGUAGAAGGUCAGGA